rnacentral:rRNA from 1 species
GACGAACGCUGGCGGCGUGCCUAAUACAUGCAAGUCGAACGCUUCUUUUUCACCGAACUUCGGUUCAUCGAAAAAGAGGAGUGGCGAACGGGUGAGUAACACGUGGGUAACCUGCCCAUCAGAAGGGGAUAACACUUGGAAACAGGUGCUAAUACCGUAUAAUGCUUUUUCUCGCAUGAGAGCAAGCUGAAAGGCGCUUUUGCGUCACUGAUGGAUGGACCCGCGGUGCAUUAGCUAGUUGGUGAGGUAACGGCUCACCAAGGCCACGAUGCAUAGCCGACCUGAGAGGGUGAUCGGCCACACUGGGACUGAGACACGGCCCAGACUCCUACGGGAGGCAGCAGUAGGGAAUCUUCGGCAAUGGACGAAAGUCUGACCGAGCAACGCCGCGUGAGUGAAGAAGGUUUUCGGAUCGUAAAACUCUGUUGUUAGAGAAGAACAAGGAUGAGAGUAAAAUGUUCAUCCCUGAC